GAUCUUAAAUUUCCGUUGAAGGUUUCGGGUGUUGCUGAGGUUGCUCGGUAAUUGCAUAUAAGUUUUUGAGUAUAAAUGGGGAGAAUGAAAAAGUGUUUCGCGCCAGAGUCUACAGUCCUCACUUAAACGGCCAUCGCCUAAGAUCGGCACGGUUUGCUUGUAGGCAGCUGUACAAAUCUAUACUACGGCAAAUCAACGGUAGCAGAGAGUGUGGGAAGGAAAUACUAACAUCAACAACAGAAUGCGCUAGUGAUUCGUGUAUCUGGUAUAACUUUCAAAAUCCCCGGAAGGAAUGCCAUAUGUCCUGCUCCAGGAAGGGAAAUAAACGUAUCGCAUGUGGCAUUACAGAUAUGCAUGUUGCAAAGAAUGUACGGUACGAUUAAAAAGCAAUUCGGCUCACGAAAAUUUAAAAAUUGCGGGGUACUUUGGUUCUAGCGGACUUGCCAUUUUCUAAACUACCAGGUGUUGAUGCGCCUGUUAAGGAACUCAGGCACCGUAAUGAAACAGAGAGAUGGGAAGAACGAUAUGACCCCAAAUAAAAACGAUUUAUUAUUGAUUUAACGUUUUCUUGGGUUAUUUAUUGAUAUUGAUUCUGUUGUGUUGUCACAUCAUUUAUUUGUAGCCCAUGUAGCUGUAUAUUCAGAAAUAUAUGUUUCAUCCAUUUUUGGGGUCAAAGUGUGUAAGUUUGCAUGUUGCCCUAUCCUCUAUUCUCCCAUUAAUUUUGAAAGGUGAAUGCUAUACUUACGCAGUGAUGCAACCUACACACGUUUACCCUGAAAAAUGGAUAUUAGCUUGCUA